GACGAACGCUGGCGGCGUGCUUAACACAUGCAAGUCGAACGGACAGGCCCUGCUUUUGCGGGGUGCUCGAGUGGCGAACGGGUGAGUAACACGUGAGUAACCUGCCCUUGACUUUGGGAUAACUUCAGGAAACAGGGGCUAAUACCGGAUAGGAGCUCCUGCUGCACGGUGGGGGUUGGAAAGAUUCGGCGGUUGGGGAUGGACUCGCGGCUUAUCAGCUUGUUGGGGGGGUAGUGGAUUACCAAGGCUUUGACGGGUAGCCGGCCUGAGAGGGUUAACGGCCACAUUGGGACUGAGAUACGGCGCAGAAUCCUACGGGAGGCAGCAGUGGGGAAUAUUGCACAAUGGGCGGGAGCCUGAUGCAGCAACGCCGCGUGCGUGAUGACGGCCUACGGGUUGUAAACCGCUGUCGCCUGUGACGAAGCGUGAGUGACGGUAAUGGGUAAAGAAGCACCGGCUAACUACGUG
rnacentral:rRNA from 1 species